rnacentral:rRNA from 1 species
GAUGAACGCUGGCGGUAUGCUUAACACAUGCAAGUCGAACGGACUCUUCGGAGUUAGUGGCGGACGGGUGAGUAACGCGUGAGAAUCUGGCUUUGGGUUCGGGACAACCACUGGAAACGGUGGCUAAUACCGGAUGUGCCGAGAGGUAAUAGAGAAAUUGCCUGAAGAUGAGCUCGCGUCUGAUUAGCUCGUUGGUGAGGUAAAGGCUCACCAAGGCAGCGAUCAGUAGCUGGUCUGAGAGGAUGACCAGCCACACUGGGACUGAGACACGGCCCAGACUCCUACGGGAGGCAGCAGUGGGGAAUUUUCCGCAAUGGGCGAAAGCCUGACGGAGCAAUACCGCGUGAGAGAAGAAGGCUCUUGGGUUGUAAACCUCUUUUCUUAGGGAAGAACAAAAUGACGGUACCUAAGGAAUCAGCAUCGGCUAACUCCGUG